GUCCAGACUCCUACGGGAGGCAGCAGUGGGGAAUAUUGCACAAUGGGGGAAACCCUGAUGCAGCGACGCCGCGUGAGCGAUGAAGUAUUUCGGUAUGUAAAGCUCUAUCAGCAGGGAAGAAAAUGACGGUACCUGACUAAGAAGCCCCGGCUAACUACGUGCCAGCAGCCGCGGUAAUACGUAGGGGGCAAGCGUUAUCCGGAUUUACUGGGUGUAAAGGGAGCGUAGACGGCGGUGCAAGCCAGAUGUGAAAGCCCGGGGCUCAACCCCGGGACUGCAUUUGGAACUGUGCUGCUAGAGUGUCGGAGAGGCAGGCGGAAUUCCUAGUGUAGCGGUGAAAUGCGUAGAUAUUAGGAGGAACACCAGUUGCGAAGGCGGCUCUCUGGACUGUAACUGACACUGAGGCACGAAAGCGUGGGGAGCAAACAGGAUUAGAUACCCGAGUACU
rnacentral:rRNA from 1 species